UGCCUCUUAGGGAAUCAGCAGUAGAUCCAAGAUGGCGCUAGCUUAUUUAAUAUGCAGACUUCAACAUAGUGAGUGGUGACAGAAGGACUCAUUGAACAAGAGUACUGUGAGGGCCAUGAAUAAACCCAGUUAUGAACUUAGCAGGGUGUUUCCACGCUGGGGACUCCCAGAAUAAAGUUCAAAUGGAAAAGGUAGCUGGACCUCAGGGGGCCUGUGCCACCUGUGAGGACCCAAGUGGAGCUCAGGCAGCAGAGCCCUGCCAAGAGAGCACAGAACAGAUUCUACGAGCCACCGACUUCAACAUCAAGGUCUUUAGGGAAGACCCAGAGGAUGGUACAGGGACCUAUGCAUAUGAAUCAUGGAGGUCAAGGAUCUCCCUCCCCUUUCAUGCUACCAGAAAAAUUCCAACGCCAGAUUUUGUCAUAGCAACCAGAGGCAAAUAUCAAGACAGCAAGGAGGAGCAAAUUCUGGAAAGGGUUUCCCUCCAAUGUGGCUUGAGUCUCUCUAGGGUGCCCAAUAUCGGCACGAAGCCCUUUAAGAACCACAGUGCUAGCCCCACAGUUUCUCGGGGGGGAAUCUAGUGGAGCCCAGCUUUGCCGACUUGCAAGACCCACCAGGAAGUGCACCUCUCCGUUUGCCGGGCCAGCCAAAACAGUCCUACCUGCUACAGUUAGUAGAGAUAGAGAUUGAACAAGAGGGAGUUUGAUGGUGUGGAAAGGUCAUUUAAGCCACGCAAAUGUGCCCAUCUUCACUCUAAGGAUUUUUCUGGGUAGAAACAUGGCAUCGGCUAUUGGACUCUCUCUUGGUGAGUUCUGGAAAAACACUGACAAACCCUUGUGAACCAUCCUUUUCCCCACCACGCAACUCACUCCCAUCAAUAUGUAUCCAUUGUUAACAGUUUACGACUUUUCAAAAUUAUAACUCAUUCUACAUUUAUUUACUUUUCACUUGGCAGGUCUCCAAAGAGACAUGAGGUUAGUCUAAUCUCA